UCCACCUUCUCCUUGCUUCUUCUUCUUCUCCAAGCCCUAGAGCUAGGGUUCUAGAGAGAGAAAGAGAGGGAAAUGAGAAGGGGGUGAAAAAUGGCUGUGGGAGAGAGGGCUAGGGCCAUAUAAGGUGUUGUGACAUUUGCACUUAGGCCCCUCCACUUUCUAUUCUGUGCACUGCCCAGACUGGGCAACUUUCGCAGUCG
rnacentral:lncRNA from 1 species